rnacentral:sRNA from 1 species
GCUGGGCGCCGUGGUGCACGCCUGUCAUCUCAGAGUCUGGGGAGGCUGAGGCAGGAGGAUCAUAAGUUCAAGGCCAGCCUCAGCAACUUAUCAAAGCCCUAAACAACUCAGUGAUACCCUGUCUCUA